rnacentral:rRNA from 1 species
UACGGGGGGGGCAAGCGUUGUUCGGAAUUACUGGGCGUAAAGGGCGCGUAGGCGGUUUGCUAAGUCGGAUGUGAAAACUCUGGGCUCAACCCAGAGCCUGCAUCCGAAACUGGCAGGCUAGAGUUCUGGAGGGGGUAGCGGAAUUCCUGGUGUAGCGGUGAAAUGCGUAGAUAUCUGGAGGAACACCGGUGGCGAAGGCGGCAUCCUGGACCAAUUCUGACGCUGAGGAGCGAAAGCCAGGGGAGCAAACGGG